rnacentral:rRNA from 1 species
UACAGAGGUCCCAAGCGUUGUUCGGAUUCAUUGGGCGUAAAGGGUGCGUAGGCGGCGCGGUAAGUCGGGUGUGAAAUCUCGGAGCUUAACUCCGAAACUGCAUUCGAUACUGCCGUGCUUGAGGACUGGAGAGGAGACUGGAAUUUACGGUGUAGCGGUGAAAUGCGUAGAUAUCAGGAGGAACACCGGUGGCGAAGGCGGGUCUCUGGGCCGAAAUUGACGCUGAGGAGCGAAAGCGUGGGGAGCAAACAGG